CACAAUGACGGCAUAUUCCUGGAUGGGACAUAUUAAUAUCCAUCCCCCACUUUGCCGCUAAUCGUCAUCUUUCUGAUUCUGGUCUUCCAGGCUCCCUUCUGCAAGGAGGAAGCCCAGGAGAUCUUGGUCUGGAAAUGAAAGCUCCCACCUCAUUCUGAGGAUCUGUGUCCUGGAGGACUCCCAUACCAACGUGCUAUCAAAAAUAGUGUUUAAGAAAUGCCCGAUCCGCAAGGUUCAGUGUCCCCUUGGCCUCAAGGAAGCUGACUUUCUGGUCCUGCUGAAGACCACCUUCCCUCAGCUGGCUGGAGAUGACAGACCUUUUGAUAUCUUCACGACAGACAGGUCCAGGAGACUUCAGCCUCUAAAACUGGAGACACUGACAGCAGAGAGUAUCUGUAAAGCUCUCGGGUCCAGAGGAGCAGGAAAUGCCCUGUACAUCCAACUGAAGGCAGGAGAGGAGCAUCUUCAGCCUCUACAGCAAAUCAACAUCCCCUCAGCCCCUUCCUCGCCCUGGUCACUCUUGAGGUCAGAAACCAACCAGGCUCAGAAUGAAGAAAGUGACAGCAGAGACCUCCUAGACAAAAACUCAACGCAACAACAGAUGGACUCAGAUGAAGAUGGUCACAUAGAUUUAGGA